rnacentral:rRNA from 1 species
UACGUAGGGUGCGAGCGUUUAAUCGGAGUUACUGGGCGUAAAGGGUGCGCAGGCGGUUAUAUAAGACAGAUGUGAAAUCCCCGGGCUCAACCUGGGAACUGCAUCUGUGACUGUAUAGCUAGAGUACGGUAGAGGGGGAUGGGAAUUCCGCGUGUAGCAGUGAAAUGCGUAGAUAUGCGGAGGAACACCGAUGGCGAAGGCAAUCCCCUGGACCUGUACUGACGCUCAUGCACGAAAGCGUGGGGAGCAAACAGG